rnacentral:lncRNA from 1 species
UCAAAGUAAACUAGUAACGAUGUAGCCAAUGCUGUGCAACGCACUUUGCAGUAGCUGUCGUUCGAACAGUUCGUUGUCGAUUAACCGAUGUUUCUGCGCUUUCGAUUUUUGCUCGCAUACUGGUUAUUCUUUUUUAUCGCAGGAUAUGAUUGAUGAAGAGGGUGGCUGCCACCCCUCUUUCGCGACCAUUUCACCACCUCAAUUAUUUUCUUUUUUCAUGUGCGCCCCCGAUAAAUUCAAUGCUGAGCUACCAGUAGCACAGGCCACCCUUACCAAAGGUAGAUGUCACCAAAACAACCAAAAACAAAAUCAUGCAACACCGAUGCAUGUCAACGUGUUGCCUUUUCGGUUUUUCGGAGGCCCAGGUUUCAGUGAAGUCGUCCAACUGUCUCUUUUGCAUUGUCCCUAAAGUCCUAUUUGUGCACCUACCUUGUGCCCCCCAGGCUACACCAAAGGUUGAUUUCUGCUAUUUCAUGCCGGCGUGGGCUACUUUGGAGCAGGCCAGGCAGCAGUCACAGAACCAUUGUAUAACGGCUUGCUGCUACGAUUAUGGCUAUGUGCCGUCUUGGUUGUCCCCGCCUCCGUCGCCUUUUUUGGAUCGCCCUCACACCCUGGACUGCAGUCGAUGUUGCGGCAGAGCUGGCAGCAGUGGCACCAACGUAUUAUUCACUUUUCCACUUCUCCCGAGAGUUUCCGGCGUCGGUGUACGGUCUGGAUGUAUCUGCGUGUGUGUGCGUACGCCGUGGUAAAAUACAUUCAUUAAUUGUGUUUCUUGCCCCAUGUGUCCUACGGGGCUUGACGCGGCUUUUGUGUGGAGCCCAGACAGAGCAGAGCUGUGUUGCAAGAUUCAACUUGGGGAAGGAGGUUACAACGUUAUACAAAGGGUACAGGGAUGUGUCGGAAACAUGGAGAGAGAAGCAUAUGCAAUGCAAUGGUUGCAGCUUACAACUGUUUCCAACACUCGUGUAUUCCGUCGUAUCCUGCUAGACCUGAUGCUGGUGGAAGUACGUGCUGGCCCCUCUGUUAGUAGGAGGAUUGACGUCCUACACAAAUGGCUGCACGUCCCACUCCUGUGAACGAGUGUUUCUGCGUUUACCAGUUUCGUUCGUUGGUUCGUUCACCAAGUUUGCAAUCACGGGACGACAAUGACCGGCAAGUUGCAGCUGAGCAUCUGCAAAAGACGCACCGUGGAGACGCGUAUAGGCACAUACACUUUUGCCCAUAUACUUUUCAAUAUAACCAACAUAAAAGACGAGCUGAGAGUCUUUUGUGCACAAAACAAAGAAAAGGAGAGGACGGAGAUUUUGUUGGAUUUCAUGUCCACCAGUUUUCUUGUACUAUUCUUCUUUAGCAUUUCCUUUUAUAUACGAAAAGUUAAGCCAGUUAAUGAUCUUAUUUAACCACAACCAUCUCUCUAGUGAAAUGUCCUAUGUUUAUAAUAGUAUUUUGGUAGACUUAUAUGUAGGUACAUAAAUACCAUGUACAUCUAUAUACGUGCAUAUGAACGUGCGCCUCUGUAUACUCUUUUCGAUUCACGAUAUUACCGGACUAUAUAGUAAUAACAUUAAUUUUUCAAAGAGGACAGAAAAAUGGAUCAGUGAGGUACAAUUAGAACCAGUGCCCAUGAUGUGACCUGAAGAGUCUUCCUUGGACCGCAUAGGCCUGCCUCAGCUAGUCGGCUGGCCUGCUUGCCCAUCUUCACGUCAUCUCCCGGUCGACUCGGGAAUUGUGCCAAAGUGCUUGAUGAGAAAAUAAUCUUUCUUUUUCCAUUCUAUCCUGUCAUGGCUAGUCGGCUCCCCCUUCCCUCGCCUAUUCCCCAGACCGUCUAUUUCCAAUAUCGGCAGAAGUGCUGUCAGUGAACGGCGACAGUGUGCAGCCGUUCGCACUUCCGCAUACUCUACUGUCAUCUGCCCUUCGACAGCUUUUAAGUAGUUUCUCUUUUUUAAAUUGUCUGCUGGAAGGCGCUAAAUGGAAAAAGCGUCCUACUUUGAUUCGACGUAGACAGCGUGGGUGGUGGCCGAGGCAAAUGGCCGAGGAGGGGCGGGGGGGACAAACGAAUUGAGUCGAGGCGAAGAAAGAGACAGGCAGAAAUGUCAUAUCUAGCCUCACUCUGGCCUGUCACGCCACACACGUCCUCAAUUUAGUAACGAACCGAGAAUCAUUGCAGACCCACUUCAUCUACAUGGCUAUUUAUAGACCAAUUAGAUUGCUGAUUAUGGGACUACUGGGUGAACAUAAACAGGUGCAUUUUGCCAAUAACAAAUGUAAUAGCACUACGCUUCAUGUAUUGUUGAAAUGUUAAGCUGAUUUCCUUCAUUGCAAAAGCAAAAUACACUGACAAGCAAAUAAUAUUGAGUAAUAAAUUCCCUAUAAAAAAUUGAUUAGGGACUCAGAUAGCGAUAGUAGUUGGCGUUCCAAACGUUACCAGCAAUAGCAGCGUUUUGCAGAACAGCUUCGCUUCUUGGCCUAUUGGCAUAGAAAUAAAAUUUCAACCGAGAGACACACGUGCGGAUGAAUAGAAGACUGUACAUUAUGGACAGGAAUGAAAAAUUCAGGACAAAAUUAAAUCGUUUGGCAACUUGGCAAAUUUUAGAAUGAGCGUUAAUAACAAUGACUUACUUGGAUAUAUAUACCUCCAUAGAUACAGGAAAAAAAAAUACUGUGUUUUUUUCCUGUAUCUAUCACGCAGUAUUCGAAUCAACUUAAUCAUCAUCGUAGCAGUAGUACAGUCUUCUCUAAUCCAUGGAAAUUUGUCCGAAGUAGUAACAGCCAUAUGCCGGUAUUGUGGUCGUGCAUAAUUAAUGAAUAAUGUUUUAGGAUGACUUUACAAUAUCGUUGAAAUUUUAUUCAUCGAAACUUGAUCCAGAUCUGCGUGGUAAUCACAUAGGAGCAGAAUCCUAACUUGAAAAUAGUUAGACAUGUGCGUACAAUUAGAUCACAUGUUAAGCUUGUUGCGCUCCUUUUCCUUCCAUCGCUUGUACAGCACAACUCAUUUUUUGUCUAUAAACGAUGCAACCUAAUGUUCAACAAUGACCUUGUGAUUGCAAGAUGACUUCGUUUGUUGUUGUGCACCCCCGUGGUCGUAAUAAGCGUGCCAAUGACACCGCCAUAGAUCGCUUGCACAUCACGCACACAUUGUCGUCUCACGUUGCUUCUGUUGUAUAAGCCUGGCCAUGUCUCCGUGUUGCCCUUCUUUCGCCAUCCCCUACUUAUCAAUUUAUCCAGCGCCUUGGCGUCAAUGCAUUUGCAUAAUAUAGAUCAUGUAUAAUGCAUGCCUGAAGCAUCAGUGCCAAUAUUAGUAAUUAUGUCGGCUUGCAGAGCUGCCAUACGAGCAUGUAUAUAUACCCAUGUUUUAUACAUACACAGCAAGAACAUACACGUGCGGUAGCAGGACGCCGGUAAACUACUAAAAAUAUGUUGCAUCCCAUCAACAAAGGCGACAACGACUUCCAGGCUUGUCUUUUAGGCUUCCUGAGCUUCAUAUGGUCCUUCCUGUUAUCCUCGGUGCCGCUUAAUAGGGCUCUGUUUCAAUACUUCAGGCAAAGCAAAGAAUCCACUUACUCAAGGUAGAAGAGCCCGUUGCCAAACAGUGCAGAAGGUACUGCGCUUAUUUCAUAGGUGUUUUGUAAGUGGGGGAGGCUGUGAUGUUGCUUCACGGUUUCCGUAGUAGGUUUGUGAGGGACUCCAGAGCUCGACAACGAGCUAUGAUACAGGUUGAAAAUCCCUCAAAAGUUAAAAGGCUGUUAAACUGUUGCUUGGCAUUUUUUUAGUUAUAACCUCGUGUGGCAGUUCUUCAGAUAUUCCAGUAUCGUAAACUACCUGUAUUGCCUUGCAAAGGCUUUUCAUAUCGCGAAACCUCGUAGGUCGUCGAAAUUUUCUGCUUCAGAGUAACACCCUAUAUGUGUUAUAUUCCAUGCUGCACAACCUGGUUCUCAUAAAAAUACUGUGAUUCAUCAAAUCGGAUAAAAGUAAGUUAAUCUUUCAGGAAGAAAAACUAGCCAAGUAUAGGGCAAUUCAACGACAGCCGAAUAGAGCAAGGCCCGAUUCGUUGUAAUGUUUGUGCAUGCUAAGCUCUGUAAAGAAUGACUACAUUAUAAUGAGAAUCGCACAAACGUAAAAACAUAGCUAGAGGUGAUCAUAAACACGAGGUAUCUUAUGGCUGAAUCAACUUUUCUGUUGCCCUUGUCACUGCUCUCUUGUUGACAAUUGAAUGAUGUUCGCUUAGCGAUUAUUUCUACGAAGAUAUGGCCGCGCCUUAGAGAAGAAUUUCAAAAGGGCCGUCGGGUAUCGUCUCUGCCACGCCCUUUAUCAAGAACGUGUCCAUUUUACGUCGGACAUGAUUAUCUCUCAUGCUAUUGUCGGAGCAGAAGAACUCGACACCGCAUCAAUUUGCCAACGAGACAGUAUCCUGAAGCUCUCAUGCCAGACAAAGCAGUUUGAGAUUUAUGUGAAAAAAGAAUAUAUCUCAUUUGAAAAUAUUAUUUACACGUUUAGAAAGGAUUUGUGAUUUCAAAAUUUAUAAUGAAUUUUGAUAGCCAUGCAGUGUCGAGGUAAAAGUCUAAAUGGAUAAAAUGCCUGUUAUCGCCACUACGCCUAGGACUCAAAUAUGGUUGCAAAUGUGUCAGAAGUUUGUGAGGUAGCUAGUAGUUAUAUCGUCUGAUAGAAUUAUGGUCUUGAAGAUACGUUAGCGUGCAUAUGGUUAUCCACCGUCGUUAUCAUACUUACAGGUAUUGAGUUGAAACGUAUUCAAUACGUAUUCAAUUAAUUUUCACGCAUUUACUUAGUGAUAUAAUGCUUUCAAAUGACAACCUCAAACAAGUUGUGCGUUCUUUCCAAGUCCUGUAGUGAAAAUGUGAAUCUUGCAGUUUAGCGAGAUCGUUUGUUUGCUCACUGGAGCCACGGUGGGCUAUUAGAAGCACAACAGUAAGCUCCGCAUUGUACCUAGAGCUCUGCAACGGCGACCCUAGUAGAUACUAUCUGCUUAGAGAACGGGCUAUCCGAUGGGCGCCCGGGGAAAACCGAAUGCAGUCCAUGGUGUACUGAAGAAUGGGGGCUUAUGGUUGGGAUGGUGGUAUCCUUUAGUUGAAGCAGUUUGUCAAAACGCGCAUUUAUUGGACAUCCAUUGGACAGAAUGGGCCAUUCGCCUGACUGCCGGGCAGCAGCUUCAGGGUGGUCUCGUCAAAUGUCGUGCUUCUUCGAGCUUCAACCAGCCUCUGUACCCCCAAGAGAAUCACGCAGGCGGCGCUACCCCGGCAGUACCCUGUGUCAGUACCCGGCACGCGGCUCGACACCCGUUACAGUCGGGAAACUUUUCGGCUAUGAGAAGACGGCCUGCCGCCACCGCCAUCCGCACUGUGGCCUGCCUACACCCACACAUACACAACGUACCCUUAUGACCCGCCUCUUUCAGACUCGCACCGUAUCUGCCGCCUGAUGUCGCACUCUGGCGUUUACCGCUUACCAUCCGCCGUCCGUUUGCUUGCCAUACUCGCCAAAAGGCGCCGUGCGUCCCAUCCCGAUGGCCAAUAUCAAAAGUAGGAGCGCCAGAUGCUAGGUCGAUUUAAAGUGUCUGCAUGCCUCCCAGCACCUUACGUCAGCGUCGGCCCUAUUCGGUCCCGUACUGCCCUCUUUAGCCUUCGCCUUUUGCUUUUUACCCCAUCUGUUCCCACAGAUCUUCCCUUGACCUGACCCUGCGUGAAGUUCUCCAUCGAACGUCACAACAUCGCCUGUGUGCUGCCUCCCGUCCUGUGGUUGAGAGACCGUUCUGUACGCAUAAAAGCAAUCACUGCAAGUGGAGAGACAACGAAAGGAACAACCAAGUAACAGGAUAAGACUCCGUGGCCGUUUCUGUCCAUCUGCGUGGAUCAUUAUAGCACCAUUAUUGCUACUACUGUUCCUUACAGGAUAUGGCUAAAACAUGAAAAGGAAAACCUUUCCCUGGCACUACCUUUUAAAAAAAAUCGUUCUUUAGUUUUCUCAUGAGUUACGUUUGUGACUCAUCUCUAGUAUGCAUUGCGCUAGCCUGUGCCAGCCAAGACGAGUUCGAUGGUUCUACACAACUGUUUAAUAAAAUGUGUAUCACGAUUGUAAAACUCAAGGUGCGGCUUGUCGAAGGUAGUAAACAGGUCUUAUAAUAUUGCACGUUCUAAGUGGACAAAAAAUAGAAUGAGUGCUUGACUAGGCCUUGCUUAUUUUCAUGUAGGAAAUUCCGAAGUAUUCCAAGUAUACGGCAGAGUGUACAAGUGAAUAUUCAUUUACUUGUGCUAUCUAAAUCUGUUUGUUGUAGAAGUUCAGCACUGGCUCCUCAAGAACAAUGCCGAUUCUAGCGACGGCUGUACUAAGCAAACUAACCAGAGCAACGGGCAUUUAAGCCUAGAAAAGCUGACACCCUGAUCGUCUCUCCAAUAACCUAUGUCACGGCUAGAACACUCGUGUAAUAACAGCCACAAGAAGCGCCUUCCUGCCACAAGGCCCGAAGCCGAGUUCCGGCAAUGAAGCUCGCUUGGGUCCUGCUUGGCAGACUGUUACCUGAGACUCGAAAAAAUCCCAUAGCCGACUGGAGAAAUGGGUCUGUUCACACUUUUACUUUCCCGAAAAAUAAGCGGUUACUAUUCGACGACCCUCAGCCGCCCGCAAUUUCUUCGUAUAAUGCUAUUGCCGUCAGCGACACUCCUGAAAGCGCCGUUCGUCCUGCUGCUGCUUUCGCACUAUGGUGCCCAUCUCGGACGGCGUCGGUUGAGCUUAGUCCGGAUACGACCCGACGGAAGUUUCAUUUAAGAUUAGACUUAUUGCCUCGGUACGAGCUCUCACUAUCCUAUAACGUUUCCGGCCGGUUUUACCGUCUCACAGAGACUAACUUUUGCGAUGUUCUUAUAGCGAAACCGGGCGCAAUCGCUUGGCAGACGGGGCGCGCCGCUUGACUGAAACUAACUUCCGCCGCUACUGCUGCCGCUGCAAUGGUGUCAGCAUUAAUAGCCCCCCUCAACGUCCGACCAACGGGUCGACACCAGUGAACUCUAAUGCAAACGCUAUCGCAAACUUACUUCUGAAAUCGCUGCCUGCUACUUGACUAUAAUACACAGCGAAUAGCGAUCCCGCAGGCACUUCACGCACCCGCGUGACACAGCCAUUUUUAAGGGAAAUCGGCCGGCUUCCUUGUGUUGUGGUUACCGACACAACACCCGAUGAUUUUUCCUGCUUUGCUUUGAUGCUCUGCUUUGAUGGCAGAUGGAUGAACCAGGGCCUAGACGAAGCACUCAAGAGGACGGAGAAAACAUGAAUCGUUAAGCUCGCAAAUACGGAUAAACGAGCAUGCAUGAAACGGUGAGGUACCACAAUAAGGUUUAAGUACGUAUGUACCCCAUGGCGAAUGCACAGCCCAACUAACUGGAGAGUUGCGUAUGUACACGGGUGCGGUGGCACAUACGCACGAUCUGCACGUACAGCGAGCGUGCUGGACCAGGCUGCGUCGGCCGGUCAGUUUCGACUGGCGAUGAGUGCAGGUGUCAAGGCAAGCAGACCGGACAUUCGCAGAAGCGUGGAAAAUCAACAGAAGAACGGCAACGGAAUAUUGAUAAAUCAUCGACAACUACACCCAAUGUACAUGUACACACGUUUCCAUGAAUACGAUCGAAUACGGUCAAGGGCUAGGUCUGCUAACCAUGAACGUCUGGCUCGGACAUAGGGAACGUCUGAUUUGUAUAUUUCGUUCACGCUCGAUCGAACGCACAUGGCUGCAGUUAAACGUGUUACAUAUGCGACGUUGGAGGAUCAAUUGCUGUUAUUAGCACUAUAGUAGUUGGUCCGAUUGAAAGGCCCUGGCUCUGACUCCAGAUACGUUGGAUAAGAACGAAAAACGUGUCUAUUCGGUGUAAGAAAGAAAGUUAACUUAAGGCUCAAGUUUGAUCCCUGAAAAGUUUCCAGUGACAAUAUACUAGUGAUCAUCAUAAUAACACGAGGCAUUGUAUAUAUAUAUAUAUAUACGAGUAUUUCUUGAGGUGCAUGUAACUAUUCAAUCUUGAAGCUGGUUAGACGGUCUUCAUGUUAUUGUGGCUAUUGUCAUACGGCUUUUCAUUAUUACGCCAACAGCCUGGAUCGCCUCCAUAGAUUCUUCAGAAUUAGUCCUGCACGUUCAAUUUUCGUUAGUGUAUUAUUGCUUGGGCCCGCAUCAAAAGCAGGGUAUAGCUAUAGCGGCCAGAUUGGAAUACCUAUCGUGAGAGCGCCAUCGUCUGCGCCCAUAAUUACCUAUGGCUCUGAAUGUUCAUUGCCAGAGAUCGUUCUUGACUCAUGUCAAUGAACUUAUUCGAAGAUCCUUGUUAGUGGAUGGCACACCGGGGGCAUGUGAUUAAAGUCGAAUUAUCCGUUCAAGCACACAGCACAGAUAUAGGAACACCGAAAAAAUGAACCACUGGAUCGAUGAAUAGAAUAAAGCGUUUUCUUUUUUUUUUUUUAGGUGCUGGCUCGUAAGCCUAAACUUAUGUGUGUUUGCUUGAUACUUCUUGGCUUGGCCAGUUUUCAUUCGUUUCUCCACGAGUACACAUAUUGAUUCUAUUGAUUAUACAUUCAGCGCGUGGAUUUAUUAAUCCUGUUUAGUAUUUUAUUUUUUGAACAUGUUAAAAAUGUGAGUUUCUUUUUUAUCAAAAAAUUGUAUAAGAAUAGUAGCGAUCGUAUCAAAUUUAUAAAAUUUUGUCAAAAGUGGAUUUAACAACAAUACUGCAUUAGAAUUAUCUUCUCAAUCAGUUGUUUACCUUUAUAACGUUAACAUUUAUAGUCGAACGGUAACGAACUCGUCGGCGGGAGUAGUUGUGUUUAAACCCGUUUCGUCGAUACCGGUAAGAGUAAGCUCGCUCUUAGUUGCACGUAACAAUCUCGCCGAAGACACCUCGGUGGGUACCCGUUCAGAGGAAUCAGUUAACUUGAUUUCCGAUUCAAGACCCAGUGCCACCAUUACGCAGCUAUAGUAAUACCAAUAUUUUAAUCUGAACAGCCAGGCUAAAUGAAGCAAAGCAAAUAAAACUUUUGGUCGGUAUCAACAUAGGACACAUUUUUAGAAUAGGUGAUAAUAUAUUCAUCAUUGAACUGACAUACCGGACAAUCGUUGCUGUUUUUACCAUGUUAGCUUUAUUUUUUCUUAGAAGACAUCGUGCUGUCCUUGGAGUCGUUUUACUCAAAAGACGCAGCAAGAGCAAAUCAUUUCUCCUGACCCCAUCAUCUAUGUAUAGGGCAUAUUAACUAGGUAAUGAAUACCAUUGAUAAAAGCAAAGAAUAAUCGGCUUUUUUAGCGUCACCGUUUUUUCUCACACAAACUUUACCAACCGGUGCAUGUUAAUGAUCCACACUUUUACAAUUCACAUGGUAUAGCGAACUAAUUGAUAAAGUUACACAAAAUCGUUCGUACAUUAGUACUUCUUAAGUACAACUUCAAGCAUCUGUAUUAAAUCCUCUUAUUAAAAUCGUAUCAUAAUACUCACCACCUAAAAAUGCCGUCAUAAAUACGAGCGGGAACAGUGUCCACAGCGAAGUUAGUGGUAUCAAUACUGAUGGGUGAUGUUCCGUAGCGUCGCCAAAAAGGCUGGUAAGAUUAAAAUCAUCACCUUUCGAAUUGACAAGACUUGCCACCGUUAUCGUUGAAUCGUCCGUUUGAACAUCGCGAACGACGUCUACCGCAGACCGAACUGAUGUGGUCAUAUCUACGUGCGGGAACGUAGUUGUCGAAAUCCACUCGGUUGGAUCUACGUAUGUUGUCAUUGUUCCAUCGAAAUAGUCCACUGCGCCUGACAUUCUACAAGGGGUUGCACACGUGUUUAUCUCUGAUCACGAGCAAUGUACCUCUAUUUCGGUGCGUCAGUCAGCUAAGCCACCGCAAGAAGCUAAUUAAUGGUUAGCUGAUGGAGCGAAUAAGUCAAUACACCUAUUUUAGCCAGAGAAAGACAACAAAACACAGACACUCGAUCUAACUCGAUUACAACCACGCGACCCCGAGCACUGUCCGGAGAGACAGAAAGAAACAAAACUAACCGGUUUGUCUCUAUUGUUUUUUUGCUGCG